UACGUAGGUCCCGAGCGUUGUCCGGAUUUAUUGGGCGUAAAGCGAGCGCAGGUGGUUUAUUAAGUCUGGUGUAAAAGGCAGUGACUCAACCAUUGUAUGCAUUGGAAACUGGUAGACUUGAGUGCAGGAGAGGAGAGUGGAAUCCCAUGUGUAGCGGUGAAAUGCGUAGAUAUAUGGAGGAACACCGGUGGCGAAAGCGGCUCUCUGGCCUGUAACUGACACUGAGGCUCGAAAGCGUGGGGAGCAAACAGG
rnacentral:rRNA from 1 species